UCCCUGAUGAUCCAGUGGUUAAGAUUUGGUGCUUUCACUGCUGUGGGCCCAGGUUCAAUCCCUGGUUGGGGAA